rnacentral:rRNA from 1 species
AUUGAACGCUGGCGGCAGGCCUAACACAUGCAAGUCGAGCGGAUGAGAGGAGCUCGCUCUUCGAUUCAGCGGCGGACGGGUGAGUAAUGCCUAGGAAUCUGCCUAGUAGUGGGGGACAACGUUUCGAAAGGAACGCUAAUACCGCAUACGUCCUACGGGAGAAAGUGGGGGAUCUUCGGACCUCACGCUAUUAGAUGAGCCUAGGUCGGAUUAGCUAGUUGGUAGGGUAACGGCCUACCAAGGCGACGAUCCGUAACUGGUCUGAGAGGAUGAUCAGUCACACUGGAACUGAGACCCGGUCCAGCCUCAUACGGGAGGCGGCAGUGGGGAAUAUGGGGCAAUGGGCGAAAGCCUGAGCCAGCCCGGCCGCGUGUGUGAAGAAGGCCCUCGGGUCGUAAAGCACUUUAAGUUGGGAGGAAGGGCUUACAGCGAAUACCUGUGAGUUUUGACGUUACCGACAGAAUAAGCACCGGCUAACUUCGUGCCAGCCGCCGCCGUAA